GUCAAAGUAAACAGAAAUGGUUGCGGCGGUCACGCCAGAGAGCGAGGCAACAUCAGUGCUUCCAUAUCACGAUCCCCUACUGCACAGAGAAACGACUAAAAAAAGUGGUAGCUGUGGUUUGCGGAAAAAAAAAAACUGAAGGCCUGCUAGCUACCAGAUCUCAUCAGCAAACCAGGGUCGUUAGACAUCCUUCCUACAGCCUAAAGACAUUAUUGACAUCGAUAAUGUACCGAUUUCAUCAUUGAAUGAUCACCCCAGGUUAGCGUAUCAGAAUAUGUUAGCCCGAAGCGGUUUUCUUUAGGUUUUUUAGUGUCAAAUGAUCAAUUAUUGAUGCUAAGCUUUCUUGAAUUUAUUCAAGCAAACGUCGCUGGCACGUUUUUUAUAGCGGCGAAUAGUAAAAAGCACAAUUUACAGCAAGGUGCUUUGUAAUGUUUAACCCAUUUUCAUUUAAUCGCCAUGAGCUUUCACUGCCUUGCAUAUCAGACGAGUUAAAAUAAGGUUUGUUUGAUGCUUAUAAACCUUGUUGUGUUCUUUUGCGGAUGGGUUGGCUGGAAGAUGGUAUAGACAAAAUCUAAUGCACGAAGUAUGAGAGAAACAUCGAACAAAACGGAAUAAUAAUGCAGUUAUAGACUGAUAACGGUCUAACAAGAUACACAAUAAAUAUUCAGUUUACCUUC